GGUGGGAGGCUUUGAAGCGUGGACGCCAGUCUGCGUGGAGCCAACCUUGAAAUACCACCCUUUAAUGGCUGGUGUUCUAACGUAGACCCGUUACCCGGGUUGCGGACAGUGUCUGGUGGGUAGUUUGACUGGGGCGGUCUCCUCCCAAAGAGUAACGGAGGAGCACGAAGGUUGGCUAAUCCUGGUCGGACAUCAGGAGGUUAGUGCAAUGGCAUAAGCCAGCUUGACUGCGAGCGUGACGGCGCGAGCAGGUGCGAAAGCAGGUCAUAGUGAUCCGGUGGUUCUGAAUGGAAGGGCCAUCGCUCAACGGAUAAAAGGUACUCCGGGGAUAACAGGCUGAUACCGCCCAAGAGUUCAUAUCGACGGCGGUGUUUGGCACCUCGAUGUCGGCUCAUCACAUCCUGGGGCUGAAGUAGGUCCCAAGGGUAUGGCUGUUCGCCAUUUAAAGUGGUACGCGAGCUGGGUUUAGAACGUCGUGAGACAGUUCGGUCCCUAUCUGCCGUGGGCGCUGGAGAAUUGAGGGGGGCUGCUCCUAGUACGAGAGGACCGGAGUGGACGCAUCACUGGUGUUCGGGUUGUCAUGCCAAUGGCACUGCCCGGUAGCUAAAUGCGGAAGAGAUAAGUGCUGAAAGCAUCUAAGCACGAAACUUGCCCCGAGAUGAGUUCUCCCUGAGAC
rnacentral:rRNA from 1 species